AGCUCCAAUAGCGUAUAUUAAUGUUGUUGCAGUUAAAAAGCUCGUAGUUGAAUUUCUGGGUAGUGCGCCCUGUCCGCCUAUGGUGUGCACAGGGAACGGCGCUACUCAUCCUUCUGAAGAACCCAUCAGUCAUUCAUUUGUCUGGUGGUGGAUCAGAUACUUUACUUUGAAAAAAUUAGAGUGUUCAAAGCAGGCUUUUCAAGCCCGGAUACAUGAGCAUGGAAUAAUGGAAUAGGACCGCGGUUCUAUUUUGUUGGUUUCUACGACCGCAGUAAUGAUUAAGAGGGACAAUUGGGGGCGUCCGUAUUUCGUUGUCAGAGGUGAAAUUCUUGGAUUUACGAAAGACGAACAACUGCGAAAGCAUUCGCCAAGAGUGUUUUCAUUAAUCAAGAACGAAAGU
rnacentral:rRNA from 1 species